rnacentral:misc_RNA from 1 species
UUUCCGUAGGUGAACCUGCGGAAGGAUCAUUAUCGUACAAAAUGUGAGGGGCAUGCGAGGGCUGUCGCUGACCCAAAGUCGUGCACGCCCGAGUGUGUCCUCUUGCAUAAUAAUCCAUCUCACCCUUUGUGCAUCACCGCGUGGGCACCCUUCGGGAUCAUCUCGGAGGGGGGCUCGCGUUUUCACACAAACCCCCCUUUUAAAAGUGUAGAAUGACCACAUUUUUGCAAUCAAUACAACUUUCAACAACGGAUCUCUUGGCUCUC